UCUUACGGAUGAGCAAAGAAAGUGGUUUCUUGAGAAGAUAUCUGCUCCUGGUGAAGAUGCUGUGAA
rnacentral:pre_miRNA from 1 species